rnacentral:misc_RNA from 1 species
CAACCCUUAAGCCUAGCUUAGUGUUGGGAAUCUACUUCUUUUAUUAGUUGUAGUUCCUGAAAUACAACGGCGGAUUUGUAGUAUCCUCUGAGCGUAGUAAUUCUUUUCUCGCUUUUGUUAGGUGCUAUAACUCCCAGCCGCUAAACCCCCAAUUUUUUGU